rnacentral:rRNA from 1 species
UACGUAGGGUGCAAGCGUUGUCCGGAAUUAUUGGGCGUAAAGAGCUCGUAGGCGGUCUGUCACGUCGGCUGUGAAAACCCGAGGCUCAACCUCGGGCCUGCAGUCGAUACGGGCAAACUAGAGUACUGCAGGGGAGACUGGAAUUCCUGGUGUAGCGGUGAAAUGCGUAGAUAUCGGGAGGAACACCUGUGGCGAAAGCGGCUCACUGGACCACAACUGACGCUGAGGAGCGAAAGCAUGGGGAGCGAACAGG